AGUACACCCGCUCACCGCUGGCCAGAGCCAAGAUGGCGCACACGAACAACGUGAAGAAGGCGAACUGUGGAAGAGAAACACUUAUUACAUUCCUGAUACACUACUCCAUACAAUCAUUGCAUUACAGACACAAGUGGAACACUAGCAGGUCGAUAGAUCCUUGAGGCAGACACACAUUAAUAUAAUGUACUCGGUGCAAUAUUUACG